rnacentral:rRNA from 1 species
GUGCCUAAUACAUGCAAGUCCAGCGGACGGAUGGGAGCUUGCUCCCUGAAGUCAGCGGCGGACGGGUGAGUAACACGUGGGCAACCUGCCUGUAAGACUGGGAUAACUUCGGGAAACCGGAGCUAAUACCGGAUAAUGCAUUUCCCCUCAUGGGGAUAUGCUGAAAGAUGGUUUCGGCUAUCACUUACAGAUGGGCCCGCGGCGCAUUAGCUAGUUGGUGAGGUAACGGCUCACCAAGGCAACGAUGCGUAGCCGACCUGAGAGGGUGAUCGGCCACACUGGGACUGAGACACGGCCCAGACUCCUACGGGAGGCAGCAGUAGGGAAUCUUCCGCAAUGGACGAAAGUCUGACGGAGCAACGCCGCGUGAGUGAUGAAGGUUUUCGGAUCGUAAAACUCUGUUGUCAGGGAAGAACAAGUGCCGGAGUAACUGCCGGCACCUUGACGGUACCUGACCAGAAAGCCACGGCUAACUACGUGCCAGCAGCCGCGGUAAUACGUAGGUGGCAAGCGUUGUCCGGAAUUAUUGGGCGUAAAGCGCGCGCAGGCGGUCUCUUAAGUCUGAUGUGAAAGCCCACGGCUCAACCGUGGAGGGUCAUUGGAAACUGGGGGACUUGAGUGCAGAAGAGGAAAGUGGAAUUCCACGUGUAGCGGUGAAAUGCGUAGAGAUGUGGAGGAACACCAGUGGCGAAAGCGACUUUCUGGUCUGUAACUGACGCUGAG